rnacentral:lncRNA from 1 species
AACCCUAAAAUCCUAAUCUAAUUUUUUUAAAAUUUAUAAUUAAUUUACUCAAGUAACCUUAAACCCUAAUUUAUUUGAUUUUUUCCUUAAAAACCAUAAACACUAAACCAUAAUCUAAUUUUUUUUAAAUUAGUAAUUAAUUUAAUUAACAAACACUAAACCCUAAUUUAUUUAAUUUUUUCUUUAAAACCUUAAAAUUUAGAAAUCCAAAAUUCCCAAAACCCUAGCCCUAAUUACAAAAAACCCUAAUAAAAACAUGGGGAAAACGCUUCCUCAAGGAAGCGCUUUGCUUACGUGGACAGAAAGCACGCCCUCAAGGAAGCGUUUUCUGUCCACGUAGGCAAAGCGCUUCCUUGAGGAAGCGUUUUACUGCUUUUUCCCCUGACAACGCGUUGACGUGGACGUGUUUUGUAAAAACUGGCCCAUUCCAGUAAAUAAUUUCUGAUCUGGCCCAUUUCGAUAAAUUUAAAAAAAAGGGCUUUUAUUGGUAAUUUGCCCAUAAAUAUUAAAAAAAUUAUAUUUAUUAAAAUAGUUCUAUAUGUUUUUUUUCUCUAAUAAAAUUAGAAUCACAUCACUGGAUCAAAAACUUUUAUAAUAUAAUAUUUAUUUAUGUAUACCAAAAAAUAUAUUUAUUUAUUUAUCCUCUAAUUACUAAAUUCUUUGCAGAGCUGUGUUUGGUCCCAGUCUUUUCCACUGUCCCAAACAAACAGAAGGUGUUCUCUGAACUGUUUUCCACCUGAAUCCUCCCCCAGCUUUCCCUUUGCCCACCGAAUAUCCUCUCUCAAUUCCUUCCUUCGUUCAUUCACUCUCUUUAAAAUCCCUUCACUCUCUUUUCCAACCUUAAAUCCACCCAAAAACCCCUGAAAAAGAAUUGACAAAAAGAAGAAGAAGAAGAAGAAGAAGAGAACACCAUGAGUGAAACAUUGAAGAACAAGUACCAAGUAUGUGAAGAGAUUGGAAGAGGGCGGUUUGGGAUCAUCUCUCGAGUGUUUUGUCCUAAAACCCAAGCCUCCUUCGCCUCUAAAUCCAUCCACAAACGCCUUCUUACAGACCCCAUUGAUCGACAAUGUCUAGAAAACGAGCCCAAAAUCAUGACCCUUUUGUCUCCCCACUCCAACAUCCUACAAAUCCACGACAUGUUCGAUUCUGAUGACACCCUUCACCUCAUCCUCGACCUUUGUCAACCUUAUACUCUUCACGACCAGAUUUUACAACCUCCUUCUCACUUGUCUGAACCCAAAGCUGCUUCUUACAUGCAACAGCUUGUGUCUGGUUUAGCUCAUUGUCACAGGUUUGGGAUCGUUCAUAGAGAUAUUAAGCCUGAUAAUAUUUUCUUUGAUUUUAGAGGUAAAUUAAAGAUUGGGGAUUUCGGUUCAGCAACAUGGUUAGGGGAAGUUGGAACAUCCCAUGGAUUGGUGGGGACACCUUACUAUGUUGCUCCUGAAAUUGUGAUGGGGAGAGGUUACAAUGAGAAGGUUGAUGUUUGGAGUGCUGGUGUGGUUUUGUAUGUUAUGUUGGCCGGUGUUCCACCGUUUUAUGGUGAGACGGCUGAGGAGAUAUUUGAGGCUGUUUUGAGAGGGAAUCUAAGGUUCCCUUCAAGGAUUUUCAGGUCAGUUUCAGGUGAAGCUAAGGAGUUGUUGAGGAAGAUGAUUUGCAGAGAUGUUUCCAGGAGAUUAUCUGCAGAACAAGUUUUGAGUAAGUUUGUUAUUUUUGGAACCGUAAUAAACCCGACAUGAUCGAAAACACAAAUUGAUUUGUUCUUUUUAUGUGAAAUGCAGGGCAUGCUUGGAUGUUGAAAGGAGGUGAAACAACUGCAGUAGAGUGAUAAGUGGGAAUUCAUGUAUGAGCGAGAAGCAAAGCACAAAUAGCUUAUCAGUGUUCAAUAUGCCAAACAAAAAGGGUGGUCAAAGCAAAAGUCAAACCAUGAAUUGGUGUCUGCUUUCAACAGAAUCUCCAGUUUUUCAUUAUGCCAUGAAACAUAAUUUCUUCACAUGGAGGCUCAACCACCAGGAACCUACUUGUCCUUUUUUUUUUUACAUUUUCUUUUGGAUUUCAUCUUUUUUUUUUUUAGUUAAUGUUUUAAGAAGGAAGCAAGAGAGUGUAAAUAGAUUGAUAAGUAGAGUUUGAGAAUCCUCCUCUUGUACAUAUCUUCUCUCCUUAAUGGAAGCAUAUAGGCAUAAAAAUAUUUUUAAUUUCUAAAUUUUUUAUAUAUUUAAAAAAUGAUAUCUUCAAAAUGUAUUUGGAUUUAAAAAGAAUAUCCUUGAAUGAUAGAGAAAAGCAAUGCAACUCUUUUUUGUUUCUGGAAUGUGAUUCUGCAUCUUGUGAUGGGCAGACAGACAGAUGGAACCUUCAAAUUUGAUUGGAUUUUGGCAUAUAAGUUAGGGAUAUACUUUGGUAAGGAGGAUCAGCCACUUUGUGAACUCACAACCCACUUUUCUUCUUCCAAACAAACACAAUUUCAUCAAGGAAAUGAUACAACGAGAUCAUCACGUAGUCAAACCAAAAUACAAUAAAUAUCAGCUACAUCCAGCAAAGACAAAAGAGGCGAAACCCACUUGUUAACAUACAUCACAACAAAAGACAAAAGAGACUACAAAUCAUAGGACUAAAUUCAACAAAGCUUCAAGUUUGACUUUGUCCCUCACAACAGAACUGUUUGAGAUUAUUUGGCGUAGGAGAUCUGUAAAUUUGGAGUACUAAUAGAGAUGUGUUAAAAUCAAAUUAACCUAUCCAACCAUUUAAUUUGGUUAAUCCAUCGUUGGCUGCAUUCAGUUUGAUCGAAGAUUGAUUAAUAAUUUAUUAAAAUUUUGAUUAUCGGGUAAUUUAGUUCAAAACGAGAUAAUUAAUCGAAUUAACCAUUUAAUUGAAAUAAAUAAUGUAUAUUUAUAAAUAAUAUAGUGUUUGAUUGUUAACUUUCAAGACAUAUGUAGUAUUUCUAAUAUUUUAUCUGUUGUUUUCAUUUUCAUUUAAAAGUUUUUUGAACUAUUAAAAAAAUGAACAUUAGCAAUAUAUUUUUUAUAUGUCGUAUGUUUAUUUUAACCAAAAGACAAAAAAGUAUAAAUUUCAAAUAAUAUUUUGGUUCGGUUAAUGUUUUUGGAAAAAACUUUGAUUUGGUUAAUAGUUAAAGAUUUUUACAUUUCAAGUAAUUCGAUUAAUGAUAAUCUGAUUCGAGUAUUAACCGAACCGACCAUUUAAACACCACUAAAUACUAGGGGUGAGGGAAAUGACAUCCCUCCGAUUGAACCCAUCAAACUGAUCAUUUGGUAUCAUUGGAUUCAAACCCAAUAUCGAACCAAUAGCAAAUCAAAAGAAAAAAAAAAUUACUUUUGCUAACACCAAAUUAAAUAAUUAACUGAAUCAGGCAAAAGAAUCAUGUUUGUUUAACACUUAAAUUAAAAGAAAUUCCUUCUUGUACAUUAUUAUCCCAAUAUUUGAAGGCAAAACCUCCAUUCAAUCUUACACUAAUUUUAUAUGCCACAUGCAAAAAUGUGUUCAUUCUAAAAAUAUUUGAUAUAAAGUUAUGCAAAAUUUAGUCCACAUUGAAUGAAAGUAGUGUAACAAAGUUGUAUAUAAUACUUUCAUGACUCAUCAUUGAUGUCAAAUUCAUGAAAGAAAAUCAUGAUUCCUAAUAGGGUUUACAGAUAUUAAUCAUAACAAACUGCUAUUACGUUUGUGGCUUAAAACAUAAACAAAUGGACUUUAAAAUCAACACCAAAUUAAAUCCGAAGAAGCCUAAACAAAACACCAAUCAUUGAGUUCAAUUCGUUAAAGGUCGAUUAAGAUUUCAUUUUUUUUUAUUUACUUUUUAAAAUCAACAUCAUAUUAAAUCUAAAGAAGCCUAAACAGAAGAGCAAUUAUUGAGUUGCUUAAAGGUGAUUUUUUUUUAAUAAUUUUUAAAAUUUUAAACAAUUGUUUUAAAUUUUUUAAUUUUAAAAAAUUAAUUAAUUACUGACAUAGCAUCAAUACGGUAAUCUACAUAUAUGCAACAUUAAUAAAAUUAACAAACGUUAUGUUUCCCAAGUGAUCUAAGGAUUAAAAAGGUGAAAAAACUAAAUGAAGUUUUUAAAAUUAGAGAGUUAUAUCUUUAUAUAUUAAUCUAAUUUAUUCAAACCAUAAAAUAAUAGAAAGAAAUUACCAACUUGAAUUACAAGCAGCAUGUUUCAAAUAAGAUUAUGUAAAUUUAUUUUAAGAAAUUAAUCCUCUAUUUUUCUAAAAUUUUCAAUCAAAUAUGGUUUUUUCAUGCAUUUUUAUUUCCAUCAUAUUUUUACUUUCAAAAAUAAAUUAGGUGAACUAUAAAAAUAAUCAUUUUUGUUUGUUUCAGAUUAUAUUUUAGUCCCUUAUGUUUGAAAUGUUAUAUUUUAGUCACUUAUGUUAUCAUUUUGUUAUAAAGUAGUCACUAUACCGUUUCCUCCCUAACUGCAUUCCAACUUGGAUGUCCAAUUGCUGAGAUAAAAUAAAUUUUUAAUUAAAUAAAUUUAAUUUAAACUGCCACAUGAGACAUCCAAGUUGACAUUUAAAACUCAUUUGGAUUGCCAUACAAGAUCACCGUUAGGAAGAAAACAGUAGAGUGAUCACUUUGUAACAAAAUGAUAACAUAAAUAAUUAAAAUAUAAUCUAAAGUAAAUAAAAAUGACUAUCUUUAUAAUUUAUCCAAAUAGAUUAUAGUUUUCAUUUAACGUGUUUUUUAAUUUUAAUUUUUUUUAAAAAACUCGUCCGUUUAAUGUUUUUUGAGAGUUCUACCCUUGGGGGGUAAGGAAAUAGGUUUAGAACUAGACACGAUAACUUGUUUCUCAAGAAAAAAUAAACAUAAUACAAAUUAUUAAAAUUAUUAGAUAAGAAUUUACCAUAAAAAACUCUUUCAUAUAAUACCUAACAAUCUUUUCCUUCAAAGUCUCACAUUUCUUCAACAAAAUAGCUAAUGUUUCCAAUCUUUCAUAUAAGUCCUUUCCCCAUGUCCAUGAUAAAUGGAACGGGUAAACUAAAGACCUCAAUUCACCAUACACAUAUGUAAACCCAGGUAUGCCAACAAUCCAAAGAAAUGUUUAUAUUUGGUAACUCAGAUAUGCAGCUCCUUUUAUCAUCAAAACACCUUAAAUUACGAUAUUGCAUGAAAUUGGGUGAAAAAAAGCAGAGAGACGAAGCACAAAAUUUGUACCGAAUUCAAUUUGAUGUCCCUGAAUCACCAAAAGAACAACACCGGUUACAGUCCUGGCACACUGAACGAGCAAGACCUUAGUAUAUUCAUGGCAGCAAGGGUAGCAGAUAGUGUACAAGCGGGGAGAGAAGGAAAAUUAUGGCCUUCUAUCUUCAAACCCAAAUUUAUAUAAUAAGAGAACAGAUCAUUUGAAUUAGUUUCUAAUGAUUGUUUCUCUUCCAAUCUUUUUUACAAAUUUGAGCAUAAUAUAUGGAAAUCAAAAGGACCUCAAAGUUGUCUUUACUGCAAUUGUGGUUUGUUCAUGUCAUAACCUGGCUCUGCCUUCCACAAUGCAUACUGGCCUCUCAUAUCCUUGUGCCGAGGAAUGACUGAAAUGACAUAGAAAACAUAUAGGGUAGUUAGUGACAAACUACAAUGUGAGAACCAUGGGAGAUGCCAAAAACAGUGGCAUAUGAACAUAGUUGACUUACUCAUAGCCACGAGUGCCUAUACUCCUUUACUUAAAUAAUUGAGGAUUUACUCAGAGCAUUUACCUUGACUCCCGCUGGAGUAUUUCCGGGCUUUGCUGUUGUCGUGCUGCCAAAGACACUGGCAGAAGCGCUACCAGGCCUGGCUGUGGCCGUGCCCCCAAAGUUAAAUCGGGGUUUUUUAUCAGCAGGCUUCAAUAUUUGAAAGGAGCACAUUAAAGUCUCAUCCACACUCAUCAUGGCUCCAGCAUUAUCGAAUUCCCCGCAAUAAUUGGGUGCUGAAAAUAUAGUUACAAGUUGUCGGUCGGCGAAAAACUCAUAUCCAUCUUCCACAACCUGCAAAUAAUAUAUUUAAAAUAUCCUAGUUAAACAUAAAAUAGGUUAACAAAUGAGACGUGCAUUUGCUCCUGCUCAUACAUUCUUCUAGAACUUGAUUAACAACAUAGAAUAUUAACUCCUAACACAUGUUAAGCAUAAAGUAAGCUGCUAAAGCAAGUAAAACCUGGUGGGCACGGCAAAUGAGAUCUAGGUCAUGUUUCUGUAAAAACUCUGACACUUUGUCAGGACCAAAAGUAAAUGAAACACCUCUGUCGUUCAUUCCCCAACCUUGAACAUCUUUACUGGGAUCUGACCAGAGAAGAUCACAGAGCAAACCUGUGUCUGGUACAUCAGUUGGGCGAUGUAAACUUCGAAUCUGAUCCAAAUUAUUCAGAUCGGGAGAAAGGCCUCCAUGCAUGCACAGAAUCUUCUCAUCGAUUAAUGCUGCCACUGGAAGGCAGUUAAAACAUUCUGUGAACGUCCUCCAUAGCCUAACAUUAAAUCUUCUCUUACACUCAUCAUAGAACCCAUAUAUGCGGUUUAUAGAAGCACAUUCAUGGUUACCCCUCAAGAGGAAAAAGUUUUCAGGGUGUUUUAUCUUGUAAGCAAGAAGAAGACAUAUGGUCUCCAGACUUUGCUUGCCUCGAUCAACAUAGUCCCCCAAAAAUAAGUAGUUGGCAUCUGGCGGCAAUCCACCGUACUCAAAAAGCCUUAAAAGAUCAGAAUAUUGACCAUGAAUAUCACCUGAAUGUCAUAAAGAGAUUUCAGACAGGAAAGGAAUUCAAAAGCGUUCUAUUUAACCGUUUGGAAAAUAGAAGUAAAAAUUAGGACCAAUAUGAUGAAAACAAUUUGCCCCAAAUGCUACCUCAUACAAUAAAUAAUAAAAGCUAGUAGCAUGACUGCAACACAAUAGUCAAUUUGAAGUACUUUUGUUAAAAGAAUUUAUUGUUUCAUGAAUAUUCAGCCCUACUCUGGAUAAUGCAGAGAUUUUGUCUUGGUUUAAAAUUUUAAGACGUGCUUAUUGAAGCACUCCAUACUUUAGAAAUAUCAACAUGUAGCAAAAAGUUUCGCUUAUAAUGUGGCAGAGAAAGAGAUAGAGAGAGACAGAGACAAAGAAUAUAUGUAAUGUGGAUAUUCAAUCCAUUGUAUCAUCUCCAUUGAGUAGUCCUACCAAACAUUCAUGCUACACCAAGGAAAAUUAUCACAUACCAAGAACCAAAUCAGUGGUACUUUUAGAGCAGAAGAUCCAGAAUUCAAAUAAAUAUGAUUGGCUAUCUAUGCAUCAAAUUCAUAAAGUAAACAUGCAGCAAAACAUUCUAAACUUCUAGUUAGAGCUCUUAAGACAAAAGACAUUACAAACUGGAGUCCUUGCAGGUUGUUCAGCUAAAUCACAUCAGAAAUUUCUAGCAAAAAGCAUACGUGAGACAAAAUUAGAUCAUGAAGAAAACACUCACGUGAAUUCUCCAAAAGAUCUAGUAUAGGACAAACAGUUUAAAAUUUCCAAAAAUUAAACACUGAGGACACAAACAGAAGGAAAAAUGGGCACAAACAGAUAGAUAAUCGAAGAGAUAGGAAUAAAUAGCAUGCCGCAGGUGCAAUGCCACAAGUAAUUAAAGAAAAAAGACAAGUAUUAGGCUGCAAUGAUAAUAUAGCACAAAUGGAAACCCUAACUAGAUGAACAUCCAAUUCACAAAAAGAAAAAACCAAAGCAAUAAAGUUGGGCUUCAAAAAAAGAAUGACGCAUGUCUAGGUGCAAAAUAAAAUAUGGUGAGCCAUCUUGACCACUUUGAAAACAACUGUAAAAUCCAAAGCAUAAGUAAGCAUUAUUUUGAGUUGGCCAUUUUGAUCUACGCUCGAAUGUGAAUUCAUCCAAUACGACAAGAACAUGCGAGAUAGACAAUCAUCAUAACAUUCCCACUAACUUGAAAACUUAAAAGAUGAACAGAACCUUCUCCGAAGUCCAACCUUAAGCAACCAAAGACACAGAAAACCAGGUCAUUCCUCGGUAUAAAACUGCAAUUUAAUGAAAUGAACACAGCGAACUAAAACAUCACUCAAUGAAUUUUACCUAAUAAGCGAAAACCAUCCCAAUGUAAUAUGAGAGGUUGCAAUCUAAUUCAUGCUUUAAAACUCAGCAAGAUUAACUUAACUUACUAAUUCCAAGUUAAGAGUAAAUAAAACCCAAGGUAAUAAGCAAAAAAUGAGAAAAUAAAGGGCAAAUCCAGGAUGCAGUUCCCAAAAGAUAGACCUUAAAGUCACAAAAUUGAACUUCAACUCAUCAAAGUAAGUCAAAGCAAACAUAUGGAUCAUAAAUACCAUACAAAAUAAGCAUUGGGUAUUCAAAAAAUAAGUGAAAAAAAUACCACAAAUCUUGAUGGGGGCUUCAAGUUCCAACAAAUUAGGUUGUUGUAAGAAAAUCUCUUUAGAAACCAAACAAAGCUGCCGGAUCUCUGAUUCAGAUAACUGAACUUGUUUCCCUGGUCGACCCCUAACUUCCAAAAGCCGGUUUAUAAUAUCAUCCAGUAACCCUUGAUCCAUUUUUCAACCCUCUCUCUUUUUGAAACAAAUUGGGGUCUUCGAGUUUGGCCCCCCCCCCCCCCAAAAAAAACGAAAAGUCAACGGCUUUUUUUCUUCUUUUCUGAGGGAUGCAAAAGGGUAAAGAGAACGAAGAACAGCAGGCAGUCCAGCGAAGAAAGAGCGAAUUGGCGAUAUCGUUCUAGAGAAAUUGAGCCUUUUGUAUGUGUGUAUAGGGUUUUGGUUGAAGAGCUAAAGGCGAAAAAAAAGGGCAUGUAGAAAACAAAGAUGAAAAUUUUAUUUAUGAAUUUUUAGUUUAUGUUUGUGAAUUAUUAUUAUUAUGAGUAAAAUUACAUUAAAGGAAAUAACUUUAAUCUAAUAAAUAAAAGCAUUAUGUCAAAUUCAAUUUUAAAAAUAUAAAAAAAUUCAGAACCGCUUAAAUUAAUCAAAAUAUGAAUAAAAAAGUGAAAUGAAAAUAAUUAAUUAUUGGAUAAUAUUAUUUUAAUUUUCAAUACCAUGGAAUGACUUGAGUAAGUUAGGUAAUAUCUAUCUAUACCUACUAUUAUUAACUUAUUUAUUAAUAUCAAGUAAGUUGAUGAAAAAAAAUAAUUAUUAUUUUUUUAAAAUAAUAUAGAAAUAUUUCUUAAAAAAAUAAUUAUACCAUUUAAUUAUUUUUUAUAAAAAUAUUUUUUAACGGACUCAUUUUUAUCCAGGUUCAAUUAUUAAUGAGAUAAUAUAAUAUUUUAUCCUAACUAAAUUCACUUUAAUAUUUGUAUUGCUUUUAUCAAAAAAAUAUUUGUAUAUUUUUAGUUCAGUUUGACACCUAAACUUAAUAAUUGGAUUCAUUUUGAUUUUGAAUUAGGAUUCCGUUAAGAUUGAAUGAUGUGAUUAGUAUUUUUAGAACAUAACUGGACUACUAAUUGAUGGGAUCAAUAAUUGACUAAUAUACUUGUCCAAUGUUCAAACAAAAGAGUUGACUUUGAACUCGCUUAACUACAAAAAACUCAAAAUUGAUAAAAAUAAAAAUAAAAAUUGAGAAAAACCAAGAGUUGAAUAUGUUUAAUAUUUUUUUUAUUUUAUAAAAUUGUAAUUCUUUAUUUUAAAUGUUGUUGGUAUUGUAGUUGAAUUGAUCAAAUUGAUUGGACCAAAAAUUAAUUGUCUGAUUGAUUCUAAUAAUAAUUCAGUUAUUAAAAUAUUGUAUAUAACACUUUAAAAAUUUUUAGGUGGUGACAUGUCACAAUCUUAAAAUACCAUAAGAUAAAAUUUUUUAGUUGAUGACAUGUCACAAUCUUAAAAUACCAUAAGACAAACUUUUAUAUUUUUUAAGUUCAUAGAUCAAAAUAACCUAAUUGCUAAGUUCAAGAGUAAAAAAUUAUAUUAUUCUAUUCUUGAUAAACUAUCCAUUAUUUACAUUUUCUAAAACUAGAUUAUUUCUCUUUAAUUCAAACUAGUCGAUUUAGUCUUUAACUUAAUUAACAUGAAUAUUGUUGCAUUUUCAGGAAGACGUGGAUUCGAGUGCAUUAAAACACAUUAUUCUCUUAUUUAUGAGUUAAGGAGGGAUUGUAGGUAGUUUUAAGUAUUGUAUAAAAAAAAAGAACAGAUAUAAUCAGAACUAAUAAUAAAAAUUAUAUAAAAAUAUAUUAUUAUAUUUUUGAAAGGAUUAUUUUUAUAAUAAAAAAUUUAUAAAAGAAAUAUAUGUAUUUCACCCCCAAGGGGGUAAUAAGUUGUAGUAAUAGGAAAAGUGUAAGACUUGUAUUGAACUUAGGUGUCAGAAUCGGAUUUAAUAUAAAUAAAAACGACUUUGGUGUUUUUCACUUUUUCUUAAGAGCACGUGCAAUCCUUAAUGUCACGUGACAAAUAUAAGAAACAACCCCCAAUUUUCUUCCGUCUUCAACCUAUUGCGAAAAUCCAGAUUUUGUCAGCGUUUCUCACCAACCAAACGCUGUUAAGGGAAAAAACAAUGAGAAAAGCAGGGCCAAGAAAGGAAGGGAACUACACGAAUCCAUGUCUAACGAUGCAUCAGCCAUGGGCUUCAUUGUUAGUUUAUGGGAUCAAACGUAUAGAAGGCAGGUCUUGGCCUGCUCCAAUCAGAGGUAUCCGCUCUUUUUUCUUUAAAUAAAGCUUUCAAAUUUAUGCAUAAAUCCUAAUACCCUAUUUUUUUGGGGGUUAUAUUUCAUGGGGUUUUUUUUUUUUGAUAAAAACUCUUACCAUAUGUAUGAUUUUUUUUGGAAAAAGUACCAACUUUUAUGCUUUUCAUGGUUAUAUUUUUCUCAAUAGUAUAGGAUUUUAAGUUAUGGGGUUGAUUGAUCCUUAGUAAGGCUAGGAGCUUUGGUGCUUCCAUUAUUUUCCUUCCCAAUAGUUUCUUUACUCAAUAGUGAAGAAAAGGUUCAGGUUUUUAGCUGCUUUGUAUCGUAACUUAAUUUGGAGUUUUUAUUUUUGUUUUCUUUACUUCUUAUAGAAACCAUGCUUGUUGUUAGGAGUAAAAGAAGUUCCAAUUUUUUUUUGAUUGUUUUUCAAUCUUACAAUUACUGAUUUUCAAUUUGUUUUGAUUAUUUUGACCUAAUUAGCUGAUUAAUGGUUGGGACACUUAUAAUUGAAGUUGAUAAAGUGACUCCAUAAUAAGCAUUAGGGUGAGGUAGUCUGAAUUAAGAGGGAUAUAUAACUUUUGAUGGUAAUAGAAGCAUAAAUAUGCUGCCAAUUUUGAUGGUACUUUAGUUUACUACAAUAAGUAGACGUUCAAGCUCUGGUAAGCAAUAAGUUUUUCAUGUCCAGUUGAAACGGACUAUUCCCGAAUGGGAAAGUGUUUCUAGAAGACCCCAGCAAGAUGUUCUGUUUAAAUUCUUUGCAUUAGCCCUGAAGAGGGAAUGUCUAUAUCGAUCUAGAGAAAUGAAAAUUUCUUUUCCAUACUUCGAAAUCAACCUGCCUCUAAGUGAUAUUGUAUUUUUGUUCCAGGCCGCCUUUGGAUACAUGCUGCCAGUAAAGUCCCGGAUGAAUCUACGAUCAAAGCAAUGGAGGAUUUCUAUAGGGAAAUUUACGCAUUGAAUGGAAUUACCGAUAUUAAAUUUCCAGAACAUUACCCUAUCUCAAGACUGCUAGGUUAGUCCUUUCUAUACUAAUCUGAUCUCUUUUGGUAUUCCUGGUGCUUUAUUGCUUGUUUUCGGUUUUUGCAUUAUUUACUGAAAUCAGUACAUUGCAAAUCGAUAAAAUAAUUUUUUUGAAAGCGGAAAGAUUUCAUCUGAAUUUCAAAUGAUCUCCUUUUCUUAUUUCUUUCUAAUCUAGAUUAAUUAUUCCGUGGCAUAGGGUGUGUCGAUGUGGUUGGCUGUUUGACAUGUGAAGAAUUGGUUCAAUGGGAGGCACUACCUGAAGGGGUGGGCAACUUAGCUUUUCUUCCCUUUAUGUUAUUCAGUGCUCAACAUGAUAUGCAACAAUUUCGAUCCACUCAUUUUUCUUUCUUGUUUUUCUUUGUGUACCCAGGUUAGGCUAGAAGGACAAACUGAUUUUUGCUGGCUCUGUGAACAACCAAAGGUUUUACUUUCACGUUUGAUGGUUCCUAUUCUAUUUAUUCUCUUAUUCUGUUUCUUUCCAAUUAGAUAUUAUAUUGUGAUUGGUUUUUCUUUUUGGGUUCGUUGUAGAAAUUGUUAGUUCCAUUCGAGAUGCGAGGAUACCAGCGUGUUUAUAAUUUGGAAAAGAAGGUAAACUCAUGCUUAUGCCACUCUCUCAAUUUGCUCUGAAUUGGUAUUGAUGGAAAUAUUUCUAACAGAUAUAUGAGGCUGCUGUUAGAGGCCUUGUCCCAGUUGAUGGUCCGGCACCUGUAAAAUUUCCAUUACCAAACCUGAGGGAUCCUUUCUCCUUGAAGCCGGGAUCGAUUGUGGCUUCCUUUUCUAAUUCAAAAGCAUCUGCCAUUGAGAAAUCAUCUAGUCUCAGUGCAGCAAUAGCUGGUGCACGAGCAGCUGCUACACAGUUUUCAAAGGACCAAAAUAUCCGUACAAAUGCCAUCCUGAACAGUGCACCUGAUUCAACAUCGACUGAAACGCGGACGAUAUUUAUAGAAGAUGAUAGAAUACCUGAUGGUAACUUAAAGGAAGGAUCCAUGGAGGCAAAUUCAGCCUCAAAGCAAAGUGACUAUGUCGAGGAAGAGGGAAGCAGUAGUCGCAAUCAACCUCCUACACGUCCAGAACAGGAUUCAGGUGCCCCAUCUAAGGUAAGCACUCAUUUACUUCAAUAUGAUUUCUGGUGUUUAACUCUAUGCUAUUGUAACUCUUCAUUUUUCUUAAAGUAUCAGUGUUUGACAUACAUUCGUAUACGAGGAUGGAGAUAUAAUCUUUCAAAUACCUUGGCAAAAAACUUGGAAAAAUUGAAGAUAUGUAUAUCUGAUUGCUCCAUGUUCAUUUUUUUAGAUUUUUGCUGCGGCGUUAAGGGGGCUGAAGCCAUCGUGAAUCUCAAGUUGUCAACUAAUUCUUAGGGCAAGGAGCUUGUAUAAUUCAUUUUCUUCAUUAAUCUUUUUCCAUUUUAAUGUAUGAUUCAAUUAUCCUUGUAUGUUUCUGGUUCUUAGGGCUUGGUUUAUGUGUUGAAUUUUCAUGGAUUAUUCUAAUUUUAUAAACUCUUGACAUAAUGUAGAAACGAUAACUAUUUCAUGCAAGAGUGGAUUCUCCAGCAUUAUUUUUCAGUUUACUGCUUUUUUAAUAUGUAGUUAAUGAGUAAUGACAUUCACCAUUAACAAAUAGUUUCUAUACAUGUGUGCUUUUAUAUGUAUAUUUUGGAAGUGAAAGACAAUGCAUUUUCUGUCAAAAAAAGGAAAAAAUUAUCUGUAUUUACAUAAAAUAUUAACCAUAAUUUGAUGGCCAGAGAAAAGACCGGAUCAAAGCCAACCCAAACUUCUGUCAUUUCCCUAGAGAUGAAAUCAUCGUGCAUGCUUAUUGAUGUCUUAUAUCCAAACACAUUUGAGUAUGGCACAUAGAAACGAUCUUCAAAAGGUUUUUACAUUAACGUAAGUGGAUAUUUUUUUUUAUUUAUGUUAGUUGGAAAUUGAAUAUAUAAUUAAACCAGGUUGGUGGGGCGACCCCUUAAAUUUUUAAAUCGAUUUAGUUAUAUUUAUUAAAUUAUAUUAUUAUUUUAAUUUUAAUUUUGAUAAAAUUAUACAUUUAUCUAAAAUUUUUAAUUGUUUCUAGUCAUGUCUAUAAUAUAUAUAUUUUAUGUUAUUACUUAAAUUUUGGUAAAAAUUUUGCUUUCCCUUAAAAUUUUAUAUUAUUUUCUUUUAUGGAUUUUGAUAAAUUUAGUAAUAAUUUUAAUUUAAACCUUAUUCGUUUUAUUAACUUAUUACAUUUACACAAAUAAAAACAAAUGUAAAUCAUUACAACAUCUAAUACAAACUUUAUAUUUUACUUUGGUUAAUUAAUGUAAUUUUAUAUUUUUCUUGCUACAUUAAUAAUGAUAUAUAUCAACCUGAAAACCUCUAAUAAUGCAUGAAGAAAUUAAUUAAGAUAUCCAAGCUUUUGGUGGUAAAAAAAAAAAAAACUAUAAUCACAAGUUGUUAAUUGAAAUCUUUGGUUGGAAAACCUCGUAAAGUAUAUAAAGGGCAUUUAUUUGCAGUCUGAUGCUGCAAUAAGCAGUAACCAUCCAUGGCUACCAUUUCAAGCUUCCUCGCAGUCUUUGUAAUAUUGGGGCUGUUAAUAUCCGAUGCUGGUGUCGUGGUGGAAGCCACUGAAGCUUUUCCUGGAUCCUUCAAGUACGGAAUGCUUGCAAAACGAGGCAAAACGCCACCCUCACCACCUUCCCCUACUAUCAAUCCCAUCGUUCAUCAACUCCCGGAGCCACCGCCAGCAGCGCCACCAUCGACAUGAUCAAAGAAUACAGUCCUCAUCCCGUCUACUUUUUUUAUGUGUGUAAUAAAUAAUUAUGGUUUGGUUUUCUGCGAUCAUAGAAACAAAUGAAGUUGAAAGAAAAUAAUAAUAAUCUUAAUGUUGGUUGAUAAAAUGUUGUGUUUUAUUUUUAUAUAAACUUCCUCAAGGCUCAAGCUUUUAUAUUAGAAGAAAAUACGCGUUUAAAGGUGUCAUUGUUUGUUAUAUUUUAGGCAGCGAAUUUUGUGGACUUUAUAGCAUACUUCGCCAACGUCAUAGCAUAUUUGUUCAACGAAACCAACAAUCUGAAAUUAGCUCGCAAGCUCCAAGGCUUGUUUGCGAACCUUCACUUGCCGAAUUUCGGAACAAGAAAUCUUCACCGAGAUUGCAUGAAUUCCCACGUGAAAAAUCACCUAAGACUGUCUUACCCUAAGAUAUAACAUCACCAUUAUUGUUAAAAUUAUCAAAUUAAAAUAUACCCAAACUUCUCUCCUACAAUAAAAGAGCCAUGUAAACAACUCGCAAACCCAAGUAGACAUUCCUUUCCAAAACCUCCAAACUCUUCCUGGAAUGAAGAAUUCUUCAAACCUUGUUUCCAUUCUCCUCUACCCAAUCACCAUUAACUAAAGAAAACUAAAACUAAUAAUCUUUGAAUCUAUCAUUCUUAAUUUCUAAUAACAUGUCAUUGUUAUUCCAUUUUUCAUAUCUAGAAGUUUUUUAGAGAGUUCAAAACUGAAUUAUAAAUUUUAUUAUGUAUUAAUUUAUGAUUUUAUAUUUUAAAAAGGAUUAAAUAGAAUUUUUUUUAUUUUUAAAGGGACCAAAUGUAAUUCCCCUUCUUAUCUGCCUCAGGUUCAUCUUGCCAUUUGUUGGUUACAUUUGAACAGUCCAUCAUGUCUAAAUCAACGAUUUUCUUCAGUAUGUCGAUCUCAUGCUAUAGUUGCUUCAUAAUUGCAGACUUUUCAGAACAUAAAUUUUUGUAGUGUUCAACUUCUUCUCGUAGAGAUUGAAUUAUUUCUUGCCCUAUGUUAGACUUAGUAAUUUAAAGACACUAAUAUUUGAUCAGCUUUAGGACUAUAAAACAGAUUAUAAACUAAUGUAAGUAGUAAAUCAUAUAUAUAUUUAAAUAAACUUAUGUAAGUGUAAGAAUAAACGAUAGGAGUGAUUGAGUCUCGGCUUAGCUGAUAUAAAGAGAACGUGAAAUCAAAUGUGUUAAAGCGCAUUUAAUAUAUUUAGUAACAUUAUUUCUUUCUUUAAUAAAUUUUUCAUUUUAAAAAAAUUUAGGGUUUUAUAUAAAAUAUAUCAUAUAUCAAAAUAUUAUCUAAAAUAUAUCAAAAUAUUAUCUUUCCAUAAUACAACUUUUAUUUAAAAUUGAAUUUAGGAAUUUUGCUUAAAAUCUAUUUUGAUGAAUUGUUGCAAAUUUAAAUUUUUUAAAAACCAAAUGCUUUGAAUGGUAGAAAAUGUAAAAAAACAAUUGUCCUCUCAUAAAAAUACAUCAAAAUCAAUUUCAUCAUUCAUCUAAAUUGCCUUCCAAUGUGUGGUUGACUCAAUCCUAACCUAAUAUAAGUUCCAUCAUUGUGUGAUCAGACUUAUUUAUUAAGUGUUUUCUUAUAUGAACAAUAUGUUUACUCUGAACAAAAAGUUAUUUAUAAUUUAAAAACAUUAGAGAGGUAUGUGGUAUAUUAAUUAUAAAUUAGUUAAAAGCAAGGAAAUAUAUAUUUACUAAUUCCAAGACUUGUUCAUCUUUGCUUAGGCAAAAACACAGGUUGACAACUUCUACUACAAUUGAUGAAUCAUAAAGAAACUUCCUCCCAAUUAUAUAUAUAAAAGACCAUAAACUUCCAAAAGGCUUUGAUUAAAAACAAAUGCUUUGAACAGUAUGAAGAAUCAGAAAAUUGUUUGUAACAUUCAACGCUUGAUUGCUUUGUUUUUGAUCCAUGGAUUACUUCUUUCACAGUUUGGUUUCAGCGGCAGGUCUGUUGCACGGAGGGUUACUUCUGCUUCAUCUUCUUUGAACAUAGGGAUCUACAGGACCGUAUAAUUAUCGCCACCACCUCCGCCUAACUCUGGUCAGUAUAUAGACAUGGUUGCACCGGCUGCAUCAACAUCAACCAUGCUUGUAACGGUUCCAUCAUCGUCAUGGAGGAAGCCAGGACCAUAUCCAUAGCAUGUCUUUUAAUCAUAGGAUGUAUGUAACAUGUUAGAUAAUAUUUCAUAUUAUUAGGAUAUUAUUACGGGAUAUUAUAUUAUUAUGAAAUAUUAUCUAGAAUAUAUUAUACAUGUUUCCAUAUAUUUAGGAAUAUAUUAUGUAUCUUUCCUACUCAUAUGUGAUCACUACUUUAUAAAUAUUAUGUAUACUCUUAAGAUCUAUCAAUAAGAUUGGAAGGUAUUACCCUAUUUUUGUCAUAGUAUCAAGAGUUUAGGUUCCCCUUUUAUUUUUUUUCUUCUCCAAACUGUUUACUUUUUAUCUUUUAUUUUGCUUAACGGUGCGGCUGUGUCAGCCUUCGGGUUGGUUAUCGCUAGCUUUUUAACAAAAUUUUUUUUAUCAUUCUCAAUGGUUGACAGCAAUUCUACUUCAUCAUCAUCACUUAAAAUUGAACCUAACACUCCAUUUUUCUUGGUUCCUCAAGAAUAACUCGGUGAUUUUAUUACUCCUAUUCAAUUAAAGCUCGACAAUUUCGAUGAUUGAGCUUAUGCUAUUUGCGUCACAUUAUCUCCGUGGCUUUUGAAUGCAUUUGAUGAUGAAUUGAUUAGUAUGGAUUAUUCACGAAUUGUUAAAGGAGUGGUAGUUGCAAGAAGGGUAAAGGUUGCAAUGAGGAAUCGACAUGUGUCUCAAAUUACCCUUUGAUGUGUUCAUCUGUUUUUGUUGUUUUCUUGCCCCAUUUGAGUAGGGGGUUAUGGUGAUAGAUAUGUUCUCUCGAUCUUCUGCUGAGGUUGAGUAUAAAUAUACGGCUUCCGUCACUUGUGAGCUUAAGUGAUUGAAAGCCUUGCUAUUGAGCUUAUGUGCUCAUCAUCCUAAAGCUAUUUCUUUAUUUUGUGAUUGUUAUUCUGCAUUGCAUAUUGCACAGAAUCCUGUAUUUCACGAGCGUACUAAAUAUAUUGAAGUGGAUUGUCAUUUUAUUAAGGAUACAAUCCUUGAUGGGUUGAUUGCACCUUCUUAUAUUUUGACCUCGUUUAGUUGGUUGAUAUUUUUACAAAAGCGCUUGGUGAACUACCAUUUGAAUACCUACUCAACAAAUUGGACAUUUAUAAUUUGCAUACUCCAACUUGAGAGGAGGUGUUAGGAUGUUAUAUUAUUAUGAGAUAUUAUCUUUUAGGAAUAUAUUAUGUAUCUUUUCAUGUAUUUAAGAAUAUAUUAUAUAUUUUUCUUAUUUUUAUAUAACUAUUGCUAUAUAAAUAUUAUGUAUACACUUGAAGUUUAUCAAUAAAAUUAAAAAGGCUAUUCUUGUCAUAUAUUCUGUUCCCUAAAAUGUUUUAACUUUUAUGCACCAAAAAAAAUACUUCAACCAUGUUAAGGAUCAAACUAUAGAACCCACGUUUCGGUGCGAUUUCAAUCUAUUUUUGUGCAAUCGCAGCAGGUGAAUCUAUUUGGAUAGCAAUAUUACGGUGCGGUGGAAAGACUCUCAUCGCGCCAGUUAAAAGUUAAAGCUGCGUUUGCACCUUUAAUUUCUCUUUUUUUAUCCUUUUCUAUAUUCAUCAUUUAGUUGAAUAAAACAAUAAUAUAUACUUUAUAAUUAAUUAUAAAGAGAGAAAUAGAAAAAUAAGAUAAAAUAUAUUACUAUUUAAAUAAAUUAUUAAUUAAAUAAAUAAUUAUAACUAAUUAUAUUGUUAAUUUUAAUAUACAAUAAUAUAAAAUAUGUUAAGUGAAUAAAUUUUUUUAAUUUUGAAAUAUUAAAUAAAAUUAAUAUUAUAAAAUACAUACAGUUAAAGUAAUUGAAUAUUCUGAAAUUUUAAUUAUUUAUUUAUAAAAUUAUUAUUUGACAUAAUAUCAAACAAAAUAAUUUGUAAUUAUUCAUUAAUUUACAAAUGCUAAAUAAUCUAUUUUUUUUAUUAUAUAACAUUUUUCAAUGUCUUUAAUGAACUUUUAUCUUUUUAUUAUAAUUUAUUUUAUUGUCACUACGAUUAACACCAGACACACAUCUGACCGUCGCAUUACCAAAUCUCAUCGAAACCAAUUUCAUCCCCCGUACAAACUAAGGCUCAGCGAAUACUCUUUUAAGCGGUAAAGAAAUGAAUCUUUGUUUCUUCGGCUUAGGAGCCACCAUGCUCCACACUUUCCUUGCAUCUGGAAAAUCUCAAGGGACUGAAUACUCAUUUCAUGGUUACAUCCGCAAAGCUGUCACUACAAUGUCUCACACGUUGGUGGUGAUUUGAGAGUCCUUACGAUUUUCCACAUUACAUCUUUUGAGUUCCAGGUAUCAGUUGCGAUUUUAGUAUAAGCAUCCUUCGUUGUGAAUUGGCCAAGUUUCAAUCACCUCCAAGCGCAACAAUCACUAGCAGCCUCAGUCAAUGGAUGUUAUACCCCUUGAAAAUUUUAGAAACAAUCCAGCAAAACUAUGCCACAUCUAAUUUCCCCAUGUAUCCACUGUGUCGAUAACACUCGAUUCAUCAUUAAAGCCCCCACAAUCGGGCCAUUUUCCAUCCCCGAGGGACCAAUAAUCGGUCACGCACGGAUCACUUCAAUUAUUGAAAAUUGAUCGCCACACAGGAGCAACUACAUCAAUCAUUUCUCUCCGAACAAGCUUCUCCCUAUUGUACUUUAAUCACAAAACUUAACUCCAAAAACCCUACGGUUUCAAAAUUAUUUAAACCGAGUUUAAAUUUAAAAGAAAAGAAAAGAAAAGAGAGAAGUUUUUGUGUCUCAGACCCAAAUCACCACUCGCCAAAGGCAUGCAACAUUUUUCCCACGUAAUUAAGGCUGGUUUCCGUCCUUUACCGUCGCACGCACCCACCCUAGAUAAAACCAUUAUGUAUUUUUUCAAUCCCCAAGCAUAUACCGAUCAGGAAAAGAGAAGAUCGCAUAUAUCAAUCCAUUAAAUGUGGAUUGAAAAAUUUCAAUGAUGAACCUAUAUGUCUCUUUUUGGAACCCCAGUUGAGCACUCAUGGACUGCGCCAUCCUCAGUAUUUUUUGAGAAAUAAAAUUGUUUAUACCUUUUGCUGAUCUUGUUUCAUGAGUAGCAGCUUAAAGUAGAUAAAUUUUGUUGAUAACCUCAGCACGCUCAAGAUCAACUCCGCAGAAAAGCACGAAAUCAUAAGCGAAGAAAAGGUGAGAAAUGCCUGGUCCUUUCCUAGAAAGUUUGAUCGGGAACCAUCUCUUGUUCUCAAUUGCUUAGAUUUAUAGCAUGCACAAGCCUUUUCAUUCCCAGAACAAACAAGUAUGAAUGAAGCUGGUCUACUUAAUUAAUUUUAUAUUAGUAUAAGUUUAACUCUUCUCCAACUUAAGUAAUGGUUAAAAUGAGUUCAUCCACGUCUAACAUCAAAGUUCAAUUAAUAGAUUCACUUACCUGAUAGUGCAAAGUACAUUAAAAAAUAACUAAAAUGGGAGAACUGUGUAUCUUUUUAUUGUUCUUUAUAAAAUCAUUUCUAAAAUGGUAAAAUCUUCGAAAUUUUGAAAUAUAUAAAAUUUUAGGAAAAAUUAUGUUUAUGUAUAUAUAAGUCAAACAAUAUCCGUACAACUUAUACCCUAAGCUUCUUGUCAAACUAUUUUAAGAACGCAAUCUGUUAUAUACAUAAAGUUUUUUUUUUUACUAAAAAAUUGAAAAAAAAAAAAGAGUUGCAAAGUUUGACAUUUUUAAAUCUCAUUUUCUGUAGUACUUUAGUAUGAAAGCUUAGCAGUCCUUACUGAAUUAUAUUUUGAAUCUAAAUAUAUAUUAUUUUCCGUUGACUUUAAUAUUCCGACAAAGAAUUUCUCCGAAAUUUCCAUGUAUUGAAUUUAGAGAAGUAAAAAAAAUUAUUUAAAUGGUAUUAUCAUAAAAUAAAUAUAAUAAAAUUUCAUUACAAUUUAUUAUUAAUAUUUUGAUAUAUAAAAUUUAAAUUUUAAAUAUUUUUAAAUAAUUAAUAUAAUAUUUUUUGGUAAAAUUUUAUAUAUUAAAAUUAUAAAUAAAUAUAACCAAAUAUAUGAUAUACGAUUUAAAACUAAAGUAAUCCCCGUAGUUUUUGGUCCAUUGACUUUGAGGACACCAAACAGCUCACAAGUUACUGUAUAAAUUUGCCCUUUUUUUUUUUUAUUGAGUCUCAUUAGAUCGUUAAGUUCACUUCAAAGAGCAAAAAAGGAAAAAAUUCCUAUUCGUUAAUUGCCUUUAUAGGCAGCAUGAAUGCAAUGUCAUGGUGGAUCGUUUUCUUCUUUAUUUUAGGGUUAUUAGUUUCGAAUUCAAACGCCAUACACAAGGAGACCACAGCUGUUGACAGCUCCGACAUCUCUUCUCGUUAUUUUACUUACAAGUUUCACGCGGUGUCUGCUAGGGUAGUCCAUCCACGACGUCGGCGUCCAAGUCCACCACCAACACCUAGUGGCAAUGUUAUUGUUCAUCAACUCGCUCCUCCACCUAACAAUUCUCCAUCUCCUCCACCGCCAUGUACAUAAUCUAUAGAUUAUCCACCGUCAACAUCAACAUCAUCGUAUUUUUCGUUUGAUAUCUCUAGUAAUCGUAUGCCAGAAAUUAAAGUUCAAGCUUUAUCUAAUCUCUGUUUUUGUCUUCUCUUAUGCUCUGUAUAAGACUGCUGAAGUUAUUGUUUUCGUUUUUCACUUUAUAUUCAAAACAUUAUUGUUAUCAUUAUUCAUCAAUUACCGUAAGUGAUCUAGUUCUUCUAGUAACAUUACUCAGGAUUUGGCUUGACCAAGGAAACUCAGUGAACAGUACGUAUCUUGGGCUGACAGGGAAUUUCCAAAUACCAACAGCUAUUGGAUUGUACAACUUGUCUUUAUUAGGUGAAAAAUCAUAAGCUGAUUUUAUUCUUAUCUGGUGUCUCCUGAGCAUCAUUAGCAGCAUGUGAAAUCCAAUUGGCACAGCCUUAAUCUGAUUGUAAUUAAGUAUUUUAGUAAAAAGAACGUAAGAUGAAGGAAACUUGAACAACUUUAUUCAACAAUCAUUCAAAAUUUAUACAAAAUAAAAUCAAUAACCCAUCAUAAACUUAAGCAAAAUAAAAUCAACAACUCACUAACUUUUUCCUAAACUUAAGCAAAAUAAAAUCAACAAUUAAUUCCUAAAAUCAGGAACAAAUUGUGACACAAUCAACUUAACAAAAAAAAAAAACUUUAACACAAUUAACCUUAAAAAUAAAAAUAAAAUAAAAUAAAAUAAAAAACGUGGACAUGUUUCAGUCUUGAAGCAUUUUCUUAACACUCCUCCUUACUUUAGGAGCUGCAAAUACCAAGUCUUGACCUCAGAAACUCGAACUUGGAAGCAGGCAAUGGUUUGGUUAAAAUGUCUGCAACUUGAUUUUCUGUUUUGCAGUAGACAAGAAUCACAUCUCCAUGUUUCUGUACUUCCUUUAGGAAGAAUAGCUUGAUGUUAAAAUGUUUAGUUUUCUCAUGAAACACGGGAUUAUGAGAGAUAGCAAUAGCAGCUUGGUUGUCAACAAGAAUCUCUGUGCUUUCCUUCUGCUCCAGAUCAAGAUCAAUUAAAAUUUUCCUCAGCCAUAAAGCUUGAUUAACAGUAGCUGUUGAGCAAUAAACUCUGCUUCGGCAGUGGAUUGGGCUACAGUUUCUUGCUUCUUUGAGCUCCAUGAGAAAACACCAGAGCCAAGAGUAAAACAGUAGCUUGAAGUGCUCCUCAUAUCAUCAAUGGAACCUCCCAAGUCACUGUCAGAAAAACCAACCAGCUUGAACUCUUUGCUCCUUAUGAACUUAACACCAAAAUCACUUGUGCCUUUGACAUAUCAAAUCACUCUUUUGGCUGCCUUGAGAUGUAAUUCACUUGCACAAUGCAUGAACUGAGACAAAAUACUUACAGCAUUUAAAAUAUCAGGCCUUGUUGCUGUGAGAUACAUCAAGCAACCAAUCAAACUCCUGAAAUAUCCUUAAUAUCCUUCAUCAACUUUGUUAGGUCCGUCUUCUUUGCACAGUUUCUCUUUCUAAUUCAUUAGAGUGCUUGCUGCCUUGCACUCCUCCAUCUGAAACUUCUACAGUAUUUCCUUUGCAUACUUUUUCUAGCAGAUGAAAACUUCACCUUGCCCUUGCUUAAUCUCCAUGCCAAGGAAGUAGGACAUGAACCCUAGAUCAGUCAUUUCAAACACCUUCAUCAUCUCCUGCUUGAAAUUUUGAAUAUGAUCUGUAUUGUUUCCUAUAACCAAUAGGUUAUCAACAUACAGUGAAACAAUAAGAACGUCAGUAUCAUUGUGCUUAACAUACAAGGUUGUUUCUGAUAGACUUUUCACAAAUCCCAAGUUCAACAAAUGUUCAUCAAUUUUGCUAUACCAAGCUCUUGGAGCUUGUUUUAGACCAUAAAGAGCCUUCUUAAGAAGAUAGACUUUAUCCCCUUCACCCUCCUUCUCAAAUCCUUGGGGCUGUUUAACAUAAAUUUCUUCCUGUAAGAUACCAUUUAAAAAAGUUGAUUUGACAUCUAACUGGAACACUUUCCAACCUUUUUGUGCAGCUAUUGCAAGCAGUAACCUGAUUGUGUCCAAUCUAGCAACAGGAGCAAAAGUGUCAGAGUAAUCAACACCAAAGAUUUGGGCAUACCCUUUAACCACAAGCCUGACUUUGUGCUUGUUGAUUGAGCCAUCAGUGUUAAGCUUGGUUCUAAACACCCACUUAACUCCAAUUACCUUCUUGCCUUGAGGUUUGUCCAUAAGGAUCCAAGUCUUAUUCUUCUCUAUCAUUGACAGCUCCUCCUCCAUUGCAGCUAUCCACCUUUGAUCCUUUUUUGCUUUUGCAUAGUCGGCAGGUUCACACACAGAAACAUUGCACCUUUCAUUAAACAUCAGAGAGCAACCUUGUUCCUCUCACGGAAGUAUCAUCCACUAUUUCAUUCUGCCAGUCAUCUUCUUUUUCGAUGCUUGAAUCAGAAAACUUGAGUUUCAACUCUGCCAUGGUCUGACCCUUCUUCUCUGCAUCAUCCUAGCUCCACUCUUCAUCCUCCAUGAAGUGAACAUCCCUACUAAUAACAAUAUUUCCAGUUUGUAGCUGAAAAAUUUUAUAGGCCUUGUGUAACACCUCCACGCCCGAAACCGUCACCGGAGUCAAGCUUGAGGUGUUACUAAACUUAUCUUACCUUUUAAACAACUCUAAACCACUUAUUUUAAUUUUCAGAAUAAACUAUUUUUCUGCGUCAUGGUUGCUUAAAAAUUCAUUUCUCGAGUUUCAAAACUCGAAAUUAAGAUCCAUAAAAUUUUCCUGAAACUAGACUCAUAUAUCUAUCUACUAAUUUGUUUCUAGAAUUUUUGACUUAGCUAAUUAGUACAGUUUAUUAGUUAAAGUUACUCCUGUUUCAGAAUUCGAUUGCACUGGCCUCUACUUACUACAAACCACUUUUCUCUCUGUACAAAAUUCAUAUGACUGUACCGUUUGUUUCUAUUAAAACUAAAUUCAAUAAGGAUUCUAUCCAUAUAAAGUACACCACCUAAUUAUUUUUUUAAAAUUUAUGGUGAAUUUCUAAAGUUGGAACAGGGGAUCCCGAAAUCGCUCUGGCCUUAUUUCACUAAAACUUAGAUAUCUUAUAAAAUAUAAAACCUUUUCCUGUUUUUCUUAUUCAAUAAGAAAAUAGACAUAAUAAGCUUUAAUUUCAAAUAUUAUUCAUCUUCAAACUAUGUUUCUACAAUUUUUAGUGAUUUUUCAAAAUUACAUCAUUUCUGUUACUUGAAUCUGUUUUUAGGUUACUUUUACAUUUUUCAUAAUUUUCAUGUGAUAAUCACCAUUCAAUCAUACAUAUUAAUAAACAUGUAUAUCAUCGGCCAUUUUAUUAGCUAAUCACUAGCAAGUAUUUACACAUCAUUCAUUGUUCAUAUUAUACCAAAAGUAGCUAAGUUUCUAUACAUGCCAUACCCAAAACAAAACGUCUAAUUAUACCGACUUAUUUCUUUGAUAGUGUGAUCGGCCUCCGACGUUUCCUUCGAUCCCCGAGUGGCUAGAUAAGUACUAUAAGAAGAAGAAAAUAAAGAGAUUAAGCACUAGGCUUAGUAAGCUUACAAGCAAAUAAAUCACAACAUUCAACAUAAUGGAUAAUUAUGCAUAAUAUCAUCUAACAUCAUAAAUUUCUUUACUUCUCAAUUUCUAUCUUCUUCUUUAUUCCCUUACCUUCUUUCUUACCUGACCUUUCCUUUUUCAUAAAUAUAAUCUACUUUUCCUUUGCUGUUAAUUCACUGUAAUUUAACUCGUACCCUGACCCGUUGAACCACUCGGAAUACUAAGGAUACUAGGGUCGUUCCUGUCUUUCAAUAUCCUGCCAAUGCCAUGUCUUUGACAUGGACUUACAUGAAUUAUUCCUGUCUCCAAUGCCAUAUAUAAUAUGGACUUACAUGGCUCAAUCCUGUCUCCAAUGCCAUAUAUAAUAUAGACUUACAUGGCUCACUCCUGUCUCCAAAGCCAUAUUUCUAAUAUGGACUUACAUGGCUCAUUUCUGUUCUGUCCUGUCAACCCUAAUAUUCUAACAUUCCUAGGGUUCAACCGGGGCUUUCUAACACUUUUCCUCUGCACUUCACCUUAAAUUCGACUUUAAAUAUUUUCAUAACAUAAAUAUAUAAAUGCUGGAAAUUGACAAUAAUAAUGUAAAAUAAAAGAAUAUUGCAUUUAUUUACUGUAACUUACCUUGAUACAAAAUGUGACUAAACUUUACAAUUUAGUCCUUUACUUUUUCUUUUCCCCGAUCUACUCCCGAAUUUCGUUCUUCUUGAUCUAUAAUAGCAAAUUUAAAUUAUUUAAUAUUCACAUUUAUUAAAACAGUCCUUGACCCAAACUUUGGAAAAAUUAUAUUUUUACCCCUAAACUUUCACAUAUUUUCACUUUUGCCCCAAGGCUCGUAAAUUAAACUUCAUCCUAUUUUCUUAUGUUUUAUGACAUGCUGAUCAUUUUCCCUUCUAUGGCAAUAUCAAAAUCACACUCUAACAUAUACUUAUGACUAUUGGUAUUUUUUUUCGAUUUAAGCCCUUUUACUCGUUUUCACUUAAAACUGAGUAGCAUAAGUUGUUUAACAUAAUUUAAAACCUCAUAUUCUAUCAUAAAACACCAAAAUACACAAAUUUCAGCUAUGGGUAUUUUUCCAAAUAUGAACCCCAGCUAUGGAGGAGAGAAAAAAUCGGCAGAAACUAAUUGAGAAGAUGACCAUUUUUGUGUUAUUUUUCCCUUUUUAAUUCAUUUAAUAUCCAAAUGACCAAAUUGCCCCUCCUUACUAAACUUUCAAAAAUUCCUUUCAUGUCCUAAUUUUUGUCCAUGAACUUAAAAUUGGUCAAAUUGUUAUUUAAACCCUCCUAAUUAAUAUUCCAAAGCAAUUUCAUACUAAAAACUUCUAGAAUGCAAGUUUUGCAAAUUAUUCGAUUUAGUCCCUAACCUUAACUUAAGCACUUUAUGCAUAGAAUUUCAUCACAAAAUUUUCACGUAAUCAUGCAAUCAUACCAUGAACCUCAAAAUAAUAAUAAAAUAAAUUUUUAUACCUCAGAUUUGUGGUUUCACAACCACUGUUCCGUUUAGGCCCUAUUUUGGGAUGUUACACCUUGCUAAUAAUACUAUAGCCUAUAAAUAUUCCUGGUGAGGCUCUCCUAUCAAGCUUGUCACGCUUGCUCUGUGGAACAUGAGUGAAACACAAGCAAUCAAAUACUUUAAGGAAUUUCAUAGAUGGUUUGUAACCAUACCAUGCCUCAAAUGGUGUCUGCUCCUUCACCGCCUUUGUUGGAAGCCUAUUUUGAAGAAAUAUAGCCGUAUUUGCUGCCUCUGUCCAAAAAUUCUUUGGCAAAUUCUUCUUAUGCAGCAUGCAUCUCGACAUCUCCAUGAUGUAUCUAUUUCUCCUUUCACUAACCCCAUUUUGUUGAGGUGUGUAGGGGGUUGUAAGCUGAUGCUCUAUACCUGAAUCUUCACAAAACUUGUCAAAUUUUGCUGAAAUGUACUCCUUCCCAUUGUCAGACCUUAUACUCUGAAUUUUGCAGCCACUUUCAUUCUCAACUCUUGCCUUGAACUUCUAAAAAACUUGAGCUACUUCUGAUUUACACGUCAAGAAAAAAAUCAGCACAUUCUGGUGAAGUCAUCAAUAAAGGAAAUAUAAUAGCGACUACCUUUUAAAGAAGGUGUUCUUUGAGGGCCUGCAACAUCUGUGUGGAUGAGCUGCAAUUUGUGAGUGGCUCUCCAGGUUGACUUCGAAAAUGGCUUCUUACUUUACUUUCCAAAACUUGAGAUUGCAUCACUAAGCUUGGGAACAUCAAGUGCCAACUCCUUUUCUCUUAGUUGAAGUAUCCCUUGAUGAUGAUAGUGUCCAACUCUCUUGUGUUAAAUCUGUGUGCCAUCUUCUUUGAGAGAAAAAGCAGAUUGCUCCUCCUCUAAAGGAUCGAGUGAAAAACUCCUUCCUUUCAUUUUUAUUUUAAAGAUAUCUUGAUUAGCUGCAUCCUUAAUUAAGCAAUAUUCAUUUUCAAAAAUAACUUUAAAUCAUUUUUCAAUAAGUUGACCCACACUCAACAGAUUUUGGUCAAUGUCAGGAACAAAGAAAACAUCUUGUAUAUGUCUUGUACCUGUACAGCUUGCAAUCGCAACAGUCACUUUUCCUUUGACAGAGAUGUAAUCUCCAUUGCCAAUUUUGACUUUGGUGAUGUUAGUUGGUUUCAAAUCUCUAAACAACUCAUUGUCAUGAGUCAUAUGGUUGGUGCAGCCACUAUCAAUCAACCAACUUUCAUUUGAUUCACUGCCCACAAAGCAUGUAGCUACAAACAGUUGAUCCUCGUCCUCCUGAUCAGUAAUUUUAGUCUCUUCACUUUGCUGCUGAUUCUUGUUCCUGCAAAUUACCGCUUCAUGCCCCAUUUGGUUACAUUUGGUGCACUUGGCAUCUGGUCUUCUCCAGCAUUUGUAAUGAGGAUGACUUUUUCUAUUGCAAUGUUGACAUGGAGGGUAGGAUCCCUUCUUGACUCCUGCUUUGUUGUUGGCUGAAGAUUCUCUAGUAGAAUUUUGAUUCUUCUUGAAAAACUUCUUCUUGUUGUUCUUCGCAUUCUCUUGAUGCUUAGCUGGCAAGACUCCUUCAACAGCACCUUUUUGCCUCAUGGCUCUUCUUUGCUCCUAUGCCUGCAAAGUAUUGAGAAUCUCUGCAAGAGUGAUUUGAGUCAGAUCCUUGGUAUUUUCCAAGGCUAAAAUAGAAGCCUCAAAUUUUUCAAGCAAUGUUACAAGCAUUUUUUCAACAAUUCUUGAGUCAUUGAACUUAGAACCAAGUAAUCUGAUUCGGUUUGCAAUGUCCAAUAACCUAUCAGAAUACUCUUUGAUUGAUUCUGUUUCCUUCAUCUUCUGCAACUCAAAUUCUUAAAUCAAGUUUAGCACACGUAUUCCUUUGAUUCUUGUAUCUCCCUCAUACUCUGACUUGAGAUAAUUCCAUAUCUCAUAUGCCGACUUCAGAGUCAUAAUCCGAGUGAAGAUAGUAGAUGAGACUGCAGGGAACAAGCAGGCCUUUGCCUUGGAUUUCUUUGUCUUCUUCUCCUUCUGCAAUUUGAUCUGCGCCAUGGUAGGAUUGUGUGGAAGAGCAGGAAUUUCAUAAUCCUCUUCCACUGCUUCCCAAAUAUCCAAAGCUUCCAUAUACACCUCCAUACGAACUGCCCAAACUUGGUAGUUGUCUCCAUCAAACACCGAUGGAGAAAUUGAAGAGAAACAGGAACUUGCUUCGACGUCCAUGACACAACAACCUCGCACACUCACUCACAGAUCCCUUAAGAAUACAGCUCCAAGACCAAUUGUAAGUAUUUUAGUAAAAAGAACGUAAGAUGAAGGAAACUUGAACAACUUUAUUCAACAAUCAUUCAGAAUUUAUACAAAAUAAAAUCAACAACCCACUAACUUUUUCCUAAACUUAAGCAAAAUAAAAUCAACAAUUAAUUCCUAAAAUCAGGAACAAAUUGUGACACAAUCAACUUAACAAAAAAAAACUUUGACACAAUCAACCUUAAAAAUAAAAAUAAAAAUAAAAAUAAAAAUAAAAAUAAAAUAAAAAUAUGACAUGUUUCAGUCCUGAAGCAUUUUCUUAACACUCCUCCUUGCUUUAGGAGCUGUAAAUACCAAGUAUUGACCUUAGAAACUCGAACUUGGAAGCAGGCAAUGGUUUGGUUAAAAUGUCUGCAACUUGAUUUUCUGUUUUGCAGUAGACAAGAAUCACAUCUACAUGUUUCUGUACUUCCUUUAGGAAGAAUGGCUUGAUGUUAAAAUGUUUAGUUUUCCCAUGAAACACGGGAUUAUGAGAGAUAACAAUAGCAGAUUGGUUGUCAACAAGAAUCUCUGUGCUUUUCUUCUGCUUCAGAUCAAGAUCAAUUAAAAUUUUCCUCAGCCAUAAAGCUUGAUUAACAGUAGAUAUUGCAGCAAUAAACUCUACUUCGGUGGUGGAUUGGGCUACACUAAUUAACCACCUCCUCGGGUAUUAGAGAACAAAGUUGUUAGUUUUCACUCUCAUUUCUAAACAACUUAUUCACAAAGAUAUGAAGUUGAUCUUGCUGAAUGACCCGAGUGCACUCAAAACUAUAUAUCAAGCCAGAACUUAAUAUUUUGACCAUCCCCUACUCUCCAUUCAGUCUCUUGUGGAGAGUUUCUCGUCUAACCAAAAUAUUCUUCCAAAUAUAAGAACAAAUUUUCUUAUCAUAUGCUUUUUCAAUGUUCAUCUUCCGGGCUACUUAUUUUCUUACUCAUAAAAUGGAACAUUUCCUGACCCACUACUAUGUUAUCAACAAGCAGACGCCCUAGGGCAAAACUUCGUCAGUUGAUUAUUAAGGAAUCCAAAUCCCACCGAUUUGCCUACAACUUUAACAAUCAAUGUCUUCUUCCCAGUCGAAUUUUCCCACUGCUCAUCUCUGAAUCAUUCAUAACCACUUCCUCCCAACAAAGCUUAGGCUCAUAUCUUAUGACAUCUUUCAAGCUGAAACUGGCACUAAAUCUCCCAAAAUCAUUGUUGGAAGAAUGACCUUGAGCGCCAUGCUCCAUUAAACUUAGAUAAUAUUUGAACAAGUAAUUUGACUUUUUGUAUAUGAAAAUAUCACAAGAAGUUAUUUCACAUAGUAUACUUUUCUUUUUUUCUUUUUUAGAAAUCAAGUUUAGUAUAAGGUUCUCACAACCGAGCCUUCUUGAAAUUAGAGAGGGACGAAGAAAGAUAAUUUAUUAUUUACGAGUCACACUUUGGGAUAUAUUAAUACACGCAAGAAAGGUAGUUAAAAUUCAAUUAAUUCUAUAUUAUUAGUUUUAUGGUUGAUAUUUGAAGUUUGUGAAAGAACAUAGUUUUUAUGAAUUCACAUUUUCUCUUUUUAAGUAUCUUAUAAUUGCAUGGUACAUCUAUAAAUGAUUAUACUUAUUAUUAAUAUUUAUUUAAUUGUAUAUUUGUUGAGUAAUUAUAUGAUGGGAAUAUUCAGAUAUUUAUAUGUAGGGCCUAAAAUUUGCCUGGCCCAGACAACUAGGAGCCCAAUAAAGGCAGACCCAAACCCAAAAAAUAAAACCUCACCCCAAACCCUAAAUACCCAUUUACAAACAGCCCAAUUGGCCCACAAACACAACAUAUUUUCAGCGAUAGAAACCCUAGCAGCCUUUUUUGUGUUGUUUCAGCGAACCGAAGCAGUCCCUCCUCCGCAUGUCACUCGCCUCCUCCGUGUUGUACGCCACUCCACCUCCAUGUCAGAGGCGUACUCGCCUACGAACCUGCAAACAAGCAACAAACGGUUGUAAAUAUCGGCUAUAAAGCCAAAUAAAAGCAAGUGUAAAAAAGAUCUUUUUUUUUCUUUUCAAGAGAAACGAGUUACGAUUUUUUUUGAAUAAAACAAGCAAACGAAAAUCAAUAAAGAUCAGCCAAGAAUAAUCCAAAGGUGAUUAUUUUUUGUAUUUUUUUAUUCUGUUUUUUUAUUUCGACGCAAAUAUGAGAUAUAGAGAGAACGAGAGACUUACCGGAGUUAUAUCAGUUCACGCCGUCGAUGGGCCUUGUCCCGUUCGUCGCGGUCAGAUUUUGGGGGCGGUUGUAGGCCAGAAUAUUAGCCUUUCGGCUGAGGGGGAAAGUGGAGGAGCUGAGAAUGUUAUAAGCUUUCAAGGUUUUUCUUUUAAAAAACAAAAGGUUAAAAUGUAUUUUAAAAUAAAAAAUGGUUUAAAUAAUAAAAAGCUGAAACAACA